UGGGGAAUAUUGCACAAUGGGCGAAAGCCUGAUGCAGCAACGCCGCGUGAGUGAUGAAGGUCUUCGGAUUGUAAAGCUCUGUCUUUUGGGACGAUAAUGACGGUACCAAAGGAGGAAGCCACGGCUAACUACGUGCCAGCAGCCGCGGUAAUACGUAGGUGGCGAGCGUUGUCCGGAUUUACUGGGCGUAAAGGGUGCGUAGGCGGAUGUUUAAGUGAGAUGUGAAAUACCCGGGCUUAACUUGGGUGCUGCAUUUCAAACUGGAUAUCUAGAGUGCAGGAGAGGAGAAUGGAAUUCCUAGUGUAGCGGUGAAAUGCGUAGAGAUUAGGAAGAACACCAGUGGCGAAGGCGAUUCUCUGGACUGUAACUGACGCUGAGGCACGAAAGCGUGGGCAGCAAACAGGAUUAGAUACCCUGGUAGUCCACGCCGUAAACGAUGAGUACUAGGUGUAGGAGGUAUCGACCCCUUCUGUGCCGCAGUAAACACAUUAAGUACUCCGCCUGGGAAGUACGAUCGCAAGAUUAAAAC
rnacentral:rRNA from 1 species